GGUGGAUCGGGCGGAGGCCGUCAAGCUAGCCGGAAGGGGCUGUGCUGUCAACCAGCGAGCGCAGGAGGUGUUAACCACCGAAGGGAGGUAGAAUGUUUUUCCCCACCAGAGGAGGCAGCGACCACGUCUCCUCUAUGGAGGCAUUCAAGAGCCGUCCAGCUGAAGCAGCAUCACUGUCUGAGGUAAAUACCUGGGGUUCACCAUCUUGCACCAAGAAGAUUAAAGACAUGGACACAUGUGAGUGGGUUGAGGAGCGGAAAUUUUAAUAGGCUGAAGAAAGGAGAGAGGAGAGCAGCUUUCUCUCUCUUUCUAGAGAGAGGCAUCCAAAAGGGAAAAAGCCGGCCUGAGGUGGACCACAGCAGACUUGAUAGGCAGGCUUGAGGAGGCGGCGUCUGAUUUACACAGGGCCCACAGAUUGGUCUGAUCAGGUGUGACGUUUACAUAGCGCUCGGGGAAGGCUGGUCGUCCCACCCUAAUCUUAUUAAACAAAUGGGCUUUCUACUUGGCCAGUACCAUCUUGUCUGCUCCUUACUAUACACGCGGGUGGCAAAGACAGGAGAAGAUGGAGCCACCGUUUUGAACGUGUCUAUUCCCAGCUCGGAAGGCACAAUCCACAUAGGUCUGCAUGGUCCACCGAGCUGCAUACCCACGGGGCCAGCGGGAGGUGGGCAGCUGCUGGGCUCUCUUCUGAAGCAGACAGGAUCUCACUCUGUUGCUGAGGCUGGAUCACAGCUCCCUGCAACCUUGAACUCUCCCUCAAGCAAUUCUCCCCACUCUGCCUUCCAAAGCACUAGCAUUAUAGGCCUAAGCCACCACUCCCAUCCACUGUAGUGUAAACUGUCUCCUUCAAUGUUUCCAAUAGUUGCGGAGCAGAUCAGAUAAGGGUUCUUCCUGUCUGUUGCUUCAAGUUUCAUUCUCUCUUUAAACAAUACAAGGUUGGCUUCCAUGGUUCCUUCUUAAAGAAUGUUGAAGGUGUGUCUUCAGAUUCAUUUAGUGUUCGUGGAACCCCAGGGAAAGCUGAUGUAAAAACCUCUUUUUUCUCCCAUAUGUCUCAAAAAGUUGUAUUUUCUGGGUCCAAGGGAUCUGCAAGCCUCCUAAAGGCAUUUCCAUUGUCACUACCACCAGGUGUGAACUGUAAUCUGGCACGUAUAGUUCCAAGAACUGUCAUAAUAGAUGCUGAAGAAACAUUGUGAAGUUAACUCGCUGUUACCAACUGUGAAGUCAUUAGCUAGAGGAAUCUUGGGCGGUCUGAAAUCUGAGAUACUGUGGAAAGAACAGAAAGAUCCUGUAUCUUUCCUAUAAUUGUUCUACUGGAAGUUGUCAUUUUACACAGGAGACAUUCUGUUUUAUUUAUUUUCUUUUGAGACAGGGUCUCACUCUGUCGCCCAGGCUGGAGUGCAGUGUUGUUACCACAGGUCACUGGUGCCUCCACUGCCUGAGGACUGCUCAAGCAAUCCUCCUGCCUCAGUCCCCUGAGGAGCUGGGGCCACAGGCCUGCACCACCAUGCCUGGCUAAUUAUUUUUAUUUGUAGAGACAAAGUCUAUCUUGCCUAGGCUGAUCUCGAACUCCUGGGCUCAAGUAAUCCUCCCGCGGUGGCUUCUCAAAGUGCUUGGGAUUACAGAUGGUCUUGCUCUGUCACCCAGUCUGGAAUGCAGUGGUGCCAUCAUAGCUCACUACAGCCUGAGCUGUACUGAGCUCGAGGGAUCUUCCCGUCUCCGCCUCCUAAGCAGCUGGGACUACAGGUACUUGCCCCCAGGCCCAGAUAAUUUAUUUAAAAACUUUUUUUGUAGAGACAGGGUCUCACUAUGUUGCCCAGGCUGGUCUCAAACUCCUGGCCUCAAACAAUCCUCUACCUCAACCCCCCUAAGUGCUGGCAUUACAGGCAUCAGCUGCCAUGCCUGGCUACAAAUCUUAAUGUUUUCCCCAUGGCUUCUUUUUCUGGCGUUCUUUUCUCAGGUAAUGGAAGUGGGCAGAGAAUGAUCCUUUCCCUAGGCUCCAGUGUGUAAGAAUUAAAGAAAGAGGAAAGAAACACAAUGGCUUGAUGGUCGAGGACAGGUUUAUUUUAAAGAAAACAAACCCAAGAGUGGCUUCUGGCUGAGUUAGAUCAGAGGCAUGCUCUCUUACAGACUAAGAGUUUUUAAGGAUUCAGGGUGGGAGAGUUUAUCAGAGGCUUGGACUGCUUCUGUGUCUCUUUAGGUGUGCUUAUCUGGGAGGGAGUUGUGUGUCUGUUUCCAUACAUCUUCCUGCAGCUGCAGGCAUACCCCCAGGUCUGCUUUUAGCUUCCCUAUCUUAGUGCACCUGAAGGGAAAGAAUGUGCUUAUUAAGGCCCACUGUUAUACUGGGGCCCAAUGUAUGAGGGUGAAGUUUGGCAAUUACCCAAGAGACUUUCCCCCCACCUCCCUCUGUGCCUGAGCUGUCUCAUCUAUGUUUUACUGUCUGCUCUUUCUGUCUGCUUGUUGUUAGAAGAGAAGUGAUUUUCUUGAAAUGCAUGAGGCUGGAAAGGGAGCUGGCACUUAAAGUGGCGGUGUUUGUCCGAGAGGAUGGUGCUCCUGCUCUGUCACAGUGGGCAUGGGGAUUCAGGCCACUGCCACCGAAUUUCAAGAGCCCAAGCACAGAGCCCAGAACUAAAUUGUGAGGGUUUAAAAAAAAAAAAAGCUUUAUUGAAGUAUAAUUGACAUACAAUAAACUUGAAUAUUUAAAGUGUACAAUUUAUGCGUUUGGGCAUUUGUAUAUACCCCUGCAACCAUCAGCACACUGAAGAUAAGGAAUAUACCCAUUACCCCUGAAAAUUUCCCCAUGCCCUUUGGAGCCCCUCCCUUCAACCCCUCAAAUACUUAAUGCGCUUUUUCCCGAAAGGCAAGAAGAAAGCUUCCCUACACAUUUAUCAAGGCUGUUAUAAUCCUGACUCCCAAACAAGUGGAAACUCCUGGAAGCCCUCACCAGAAGUAGAUGCUGUUGCCAGCAGAACCACGAGUCAAAUAAACCUAUUUUUAUAAAUUACCCAGCCUCAGGUAUUCCUUUAGAGCAACACAUAUGGACUAAGACAGUGAUGUUCUCAAUUUACCCUGACAUUGCAUGCAGGCCGGCUGUUUCCUCUUAAGUUCCCGGAGUGGGAAUGUGUUCCGGACAAAGGAUGCUAGUGAGUGGCAGUC
rnacentral:lncRNA from 1 species